rnacentral:rRNA from 1 species
GAUGAACGCUGGCGGCGUGCCUAAUACAUGCAAGUCGAGCGAACGGACGAGAAGCUUGCUUCUCUGAUGUUAGCGGCGGACGGGUGAGUAACACGUGGAUAACCUACCUAUAAGACCGGGAUAACUUCGGGAAACCGGAGCUAAUACCGGAUAAUAUUUUGAACCGCAUGGUUCAACAGGGAAAGACGGUCUUGCUGUCACUUAUAGAUGGUUCCGCGCUGCAUUAGCUAGUUGGUAAGGUGACGGCGUUCCAAGGCAACGAGGACUAGCCGACCUGAGGGGGUGAUCGGCCACACUGGAACUGAGACACGGUCCAGGCUCCGACGGGAGGCAGCAGUAGGGAAUCUUCCGCAAAGGGCGUAAGCCUGACGGAGCAACGCCGCGUGAGUGAUGAAGGUCUUCGGAUCGUAAUACUCUGUUAUUAGGGAAGAACAGAUGGGUAAGUAACUGUGCACAUCUUGACGGUACUUAAUCAGAAAGCCCCGGCUAACUACGUG